AAAGCAGAGUCCAGGCUUAGACUGCAGCUCCUCGCUUACCUGUGCAGUCUAAUUUUGAGCUGCCUCUUUGUAGUCCCAAAAGACAGGAGCUCCCUGUUGUGGGUCUACUAACCCGUACGUUUCCGUGGGCAAGUCUUGUGUGUACUCCUCACCAUGGCUCAGCUCCAAACACGCUUCUACACUAAUGACAAGAAAUAUGCCAUAGAUGAUGUUCCCUUCUCAAUCCCUACCACCUCUGAAAUUGCUGACCUUAGUAACAUCAUCAAUAAACUACUAAAGGACAAAAAUGAGUUCCACAAACGUGGAGUUUGAUUUCCUUAUUAAGGACCAGUUUCUGCAAAUGCCCUUGUUCAAACACAUGGAACUGGAGAACAUCUCAUCAGAAGCAGCUGUGGAAAUAGAAACGAGCAGUAUACUGCACCCCAGCCAGAGCAAUGCAUGUUCCAUGAUGACUGGAUCAGUUCAAUUAAAGGAGCAGAGGAAUGGAUCUUGACUGGUUCUUAUGACAAGACUUCUUGGAUCUGGUCCUUGGAAGGAAAGUCAAUAAUGACAAUUGUGGGACAUACGGAUGUUGUAAAAGAUGUGGCCUGGGUGAAAAAAGAUAGCUUGUCCUGCUUAUUAUUGAGUGCCUCUAUGGAUCAGACUAUUCUCUUAUGGGAGUGGAAUGUAGAGAGAAACAAAGUGAAAGCCCUACACUGCUGUAGAGGUCAUGCUGGAAGUGUAGAUUCUAUAGCUGUUGAUGGCACAGGAACUAAAUUUUGUAGUGGCUCCUGGAAUAAGAUGCUAAAGAUCUUGUCUACAGUCCCCACAGAUGAAGAAGAUGAGAUGGAGGAGUCCACAAAUCAACCAAGAAAGAAACAGAAAACAGAAGAGUUGGAACCAACAAGGACUCCCAUAGUGACCCUCUCUGGCCAUAUGGAAGCAGACCAUCAGUUCUGUGGUCAGAUACUGAAGAAAUCUGCAGUGCAUCUUGGGACCAUACAAUUAGAGUGUGGGAUGUUGAGUUUGGCAGUCUUAAGUCAACUUUGACAGGAAAUAAAGUGUUUAAUUGUAUUUCCUAUACUCCACUUUGUAAAUGUUUAGCAUCUGGAAGCACAGAUAGGCAUAUCAGACUGUGGGAUCCCCAAACUAAAGAUGGUUCUUUGAUGUCGCUGUCCCUAACCUCACAUACCGGUUAUGUGACAACAGUAAAAUGGUCUCCUUCUUAUGAACAGCGCUGAUCUCAGGAUCUUUAGAUAACAUUGUUAAGCUGUGAGAUACAAGAAGUUGUAAGGCUCCUCUCUGUGAUCUGGCUGCUCAUGAAGAAAAAGUUCUGAGUGUAGACUGGACAGACACAGGGCUACUUCUGAGUGGAGGAACAGACAAUAAAUUGUAUUCCUACAGAUAUUCCCCUACCACUUCCCAUGUGGGGGCAUGAAAAUGAACAAUAAUUUGACUAUAGAGAUUAUUUCUGUAAUUGAAAUUGGUAGAGAAUCAUGAAAUUACAUAGAUGCAGAUGCAGAAAGCAGCCUUUUGAAGUUAAUAUAAUGUUUUCACCCUUCAUAACAGCUAACAUAUCACUUUUUCUUAUUUUGCAUUUGUAAUAAGAUAGGUUGUAUUUAUAAAAUAUAAACUGUGGCAUGCAUUCUCUAUACAAACUUGAAAUUAAACUGAGUUUUACAUUUCUCUUUAAAAAAAAAAAAGACAAAAACAAGAA